UUCAAAUCGUUCACUGAGAAAAUUACUUCAUGGUGACUGGUUGAGAGCAGGAAUAUUUAUGGUUAAGUUUUAAUUUGCACUAAUGCUUUGUUUGUGUUUCCAGACGGACAAAAGUCCCAGUAAGCUGAAAAGAAAGAAAGAUACCGCCGAAUCAAAACCUAGUCCAGGGAAAAAGAGUAAAGUGUCGGCUGCGUCGCCAACGAAACGAAAAGAACCAGCAUUGGUUGUGAAAAGGAAGGGCAGCAAGAGAAGAUAAAACGGAGAAUGAUAAUGAUAAUGAAAGAGUCACUGUACAUAGAAAACAAGAAUUCAAAUCCUUACGUUAGACUCCAAGCCACUAAUAUUGCUGUUGUACAUAGCUGUGCCUCUUGUGAACGCUACUACUUCAAGUUAGCGCUCAGAAUGAAGUCUGACGUGUUGUACCCUGGGAACUGGUUUCUGGCCGUCUUUACUUCCUUGACGGUCCUCUCUGACUCAACUGAGCCCGUUGCCGUUCUCAGCGGCGUUGCUACGCGACACGACGACUUGUCGCUAAAUCAAGGUGAUGCGAAGGUCGCGCUGCCGUCUUCGAGACGAAUUCGCACGGAACUUUCAUUGGUCCACUGGAAUCGGGAAUCUUCAGUACUCUUGACAAUGUGACCUCUCGUGUGGAAAUACAUCCAUAUAGGAAAUAAUCGAGUCUGCAAAAUAUCUCCGAACUAACAUGCAGUAAAAC